UACGGAGGGUGCGAGCGUUGUCCGGAAUCAUUGGGCGUAAAAAGCUCGUAGGCGGCUUGUCACGUCGGGUGUGAAAGACCGGGGCUUAACUCCGGUUCUGCAUUCGAUACGGGCUAGCUAGAGUGUGAUAGGGGAGAUCGGAAUUCCUGGUGUAGCGGUGAAAUGCGCAGAUAUCAGGAGGAACACCGGUGGCGAAGGCGGAUCUCUGGGCCAUUACUGACGCUGAGGAGCGAAAGCGUGGGGAGCGAACAGG
rnacentral:rRNA from 1 species